rnacentral:rRNA from 1 species
UACAGAGGUCUCAAGCGUUGUUCGGAUUCACUGGGCGUAAAGGGUGCGUAGGUGGCUGGGAAAGUUUGAUGUGAAAGCUCAGGGCUUAACCCUGAAAUGGCAUUGAAUACUGCCUGGCUGGAGGUUUGGAGGGGGGACUGGAAUUCUUGGUGUAGCAGUGAAAUGCGUAGAUAUCAAGAGGAACACCAGUGGCGAAGGCGAGUCCCUGGACAACACCUGACACUGAGGCACGAAAGCCGGGGGAGCAAACAGG